GAUUCCGGGAGUAGUGGCGAGCGAAACCGGAUGAGGCCAAACCGUAUGCGUGUGAGACCCGGCAGGGGUUGCGCAUGCGGGGUUGUGGGAUCUCUCUUUCAUGGUCUGCCGGCCGUGAGACGAGUCAGAAACCGUUGAUGUAGGCGAAGGACAUGCGAAAGGUCCGGCGUAGAGGGUAAGACCCCCGUAGUCGAAACGUCAGCGGCUCGUUGGAGAG
rnacentral:ncRNA from 1 species